rnacentral:rRNA from 1 species
UACGAAGGGGGCUAGCGUUGUUCGGAAUUACUGGGCGUAAAGCGCGCGCAGGCGGCUUUCCAAGUCAGUGGUGAAAUCCCGAAGCUCAACUUCGGAAUUGCCAUUGAAACUGGAAAGCUUGAGGACGGAAGAGGUGAGUGGAAUUCCCAGUGUAGAGGUGAAAUUCGUAGAUAUUGGGAAGAACACCGGUGGCGAAGGCGGCUCACUGGUCCGUUUCUGACGCUCAGGCGCGACAGCGUGGGGAUCAAACAGG